GAAUCUCAGCUGGAGGAAUGGAGCAGAAUACAUGGAGAAUUUGCUUUCAGAACUGAAGUUCAGCAGGACUUGGUUCUCUCCACAAGUGCCAGAAUCCUUCACAGUGAGUUCCCAGCCUAUUGAAAACUUUCAAAGGAUGAAAUGGAUUGGUUUGGCAGCCCUGAAGAGCCUGGAUUAAUCCCCUGGUUAGAGCAUUUGAGCACCGCUGAUGUGGAACAGCCAGCAAGGUAAAGCCCCAAAUUAUUUCAAGGUAAACUCCUGGAACUGUUUAAUGGUCAUCCUGUGAUCCACGUAAUGUUCUACCAGUUCAGGAGGGCAGAGAAGAAUGAUGUGUCCAAGGAAGAACUUGCACUGCUCUGAAGGCACAAAGCUCUUCAUCUCAUGUGCAAACUGGUGCAGGACAUCCCAGCUCCAAGAGCUUCCUUCUAAUAAAUCCCCUGGAUGCAGAUGGGAA